rnacentral:rRNA from 1 species
AACGAACGCUGGCGGCAGGCCUAACACAUGCAAGUCGAGCGAGGACUUCGGUUCUAGCGGCGGACGGGUGAGUAACGCGUGGGAACGUGCCCUUUGCUUCGGAAUAGCCCUGGGAAACUGGGAGUAAUACCGGAUGAGCCCUUUGGGGGAAAGAUUUAUCGGCGAAGGAUCGGCCCGCGUUGGACUAGGUAGUUGGUAGGGUAAUGGCCUACCAAGCCGACGAUCCAUAGCUGGUCUGAGAGGAUGAUCAGCCACACUGGGACUGAGACACGGCCCAGACUCCUACGGGAGGCAGCAGUGGGGAAUAUUGGAGAAUGGGCGAAAGCCUGAUCCAGCCAUGCCGCGUGAGUGAUGAAGGGCUUAGGGUUGUAAAGCUCUUUUACCCGGGAUGAUAAUGACAGUACCGGGAGAAUAAGCGCCGGCUAACUCCGUG